ACACGUAGGGGGCGAGCGUUAUCCGGAAUUACUGGGCGUAAAGAGUGCGUAGGUGGCUUUGCAAGCGUAGGGUAUAAGGCGACAGCCCAACUGUCGUUGGCCCCGCGAACUGUAAGGCUUGAGUACAGGAGGGGAAGGCGGAAUUCCUAGUGUAGCGGUGAAAUGCGUAGAUAUUAGGAGGAACACCAGUGGCGAAGGCGGCCUUCUGGACUGUAACUGACACUGAGGCACGAAAGCGUGGGUAGCAAACAGGAUUAGAUACCCUGGUAGUCCACGCCGUAAACGAUGAGCACUAGGUGUCGGGCUCGCAAGAGUUCGGUGCCGGAGCAAACGCAUUAAGUGCUCCGCCUGGGGAGUACGCACGCAAGUGUGAAACUCAAAGGAAUUGACGGGG
rnacentral:rRNA from 1 species